UGGGGAAUAUUGGACAAUGGGCGAAAGCCUGAUCCAGCCAUGCCGCGUGUGUGAAGAAGGUCUUCGGAUUGUAAAGCACUUUAAGUUGGGAGGAAGGGCAGUAAGCGAAUACCUUGCUGUUUUGACGUUACCGACAGAAUAAGCACCGGCUAACUCUGUGCCAGCAGCCGCGGUAAUACAGAGGGUGCAAGCGUUAAUCGGAAUUACUGGGCGUAAAGCGCGCGUAGGUGGUUCGUUAAGUUGAAUGUGAAAGCCCCGGGCUCAACCUGGGACCUGCAUCCAAAGCUGGCGAGCUAGAGUAGGGCAGAGGGUGGUGGAAUUUCCUGUGUAGCGGUGAAAUGCGUAGAUAUAGGAAGGAACACCAGUGGCGAAGGCGACCACCUGCGCUCAUACUGACCCUGAGGUGCGAAAGCGUGGGGAGCAAACAGG
rnacentral:rRNA from 1 species